CUUCCACUGCGGCUGUCUGAGGAGGAAGUUGCCCGGGACUCGGUGGCGCCUGAUGUGGCCUCUGAUAUCGACUGGGAGGUGGAACAGAAAUUUGGGGAACGCAUCGAGAACCCUGGAAAAGCAACCUUCUCAGGGGGCGGUUCUCUGUGCCCGUGUGAACCUUCACAGUUGGAUGGAACUCAGGCCCCAGGCGGAGCUUAAACAAUCCCUUUUCUGUCCUCCAAACUGGACUCCAGGAGGAAGUUGUACUCUGAAGGUCCUUUGUCUGCCUGAAGUCUGGAUCCACCAAAAAAGAAAACAGUUACCUCUGGUCCCUUCCUCAAGUUUUCAUUAACUGAACUCAUUGCAAGAAGAAAGACAACUUGGUCCACACACAUGGAUAGACUUUCGUCACAAACCACUGUUUGCUCAUUGGGUCCAACAGAGUUUGUCCCAGGCCGUUGUAUAUUUCAAUUCCAUUGACUUCCCCUGAAGAUCAUUUACUACCUUCCUAAAUCAUCCACGUUUCCCCAUCUCCCUUUCACUCAAGAAGAGGAUAUGAGACCUUCAGGAAGACCUCCUGACAGUCUUACCGGAUGCUCUUGUAACAAGAUUCUCUACCCCACUGUGUGGUGAAGAAAUCGCUCUGUGAUUUUCCCCUAUGCACAUUAAUAAAUUUUGUCCGGCAUUUCUCCUA